AAAAGAAUUUUCUUUUUCCAACUCCGGCUUUUGGUUUUGUGUGUCCACCUUGCGUAACUCUGGAGCCUGCCGACCCCACAUGGAUUCUCAACAGGUGGCCGGCAAAGUCUGGAGACUCACCAAGCUGAGGAGGAAGAGGGGAACAUCUCAACUCAAGCUGAAUUCUGAAGAACACUUGGCCCCACCUUCCAGAAAUCCUAAAUCACAUAGAGGGAAAGUUUCGGCCAGGUCACCAAGAAUGAACCAGAAGCUGAGUCCAUUACUCCAAUUUUCACAUUAACCAGGAGACACAUUGAAAAUUAUUUUCUUGAGUGAGAGACUGAAAUUUUGGCUCAAGGGUGUUUCUGUUGGGUCUUCUCUUGAUAUGGCACGUGAGGACUGCAUCCCAGGUCACAUCUGCAGCCACUCCCAGAUUACACUGCAAGGGAGGGUAGACUAGGAGUAGAUAGGGAGUAGAGGGGUCUGCAGACACAGUGAAAGCAGCAAGCUGGUGUAGGAAAACCCGGAAAAUAUGUCUCAGAGACAGCCAGUGGCUGCACAUACAAAAGGAAGGCACCUACCUGGAAAAGAAGGGGUUAUGAAGUUCUGCCCAGAGUCACAGCGCGGACGUCCUCAGAAGGUCUCCAGGCUUCUGUAGCAAUCUAUAGUAUGCGUCAGUAUGGUUGAAAAAGCUUCUUCUAUCAAGUUUAACAACUUUCUGGUGUAACUUCUGAGAGGGCUGAUUGCUUAUUCAUGCGGAAGCAGGACGCCCAGUUCAUUUUGCCCGUUUUUGCUACUCUUUGUUGGGUUUGGGAGGCUGUUAUGGUAGCUGCAAAUGGCUUCUCAAGUGACAUUUGCUGACAUUCAGUGAAGUACAUUUAUCAGUAUUCGCCAGCUCACCUCUCUACACAUGCAAUCCAUUUUGUUUUGUUCUUCAUAGCAAACUCCUUCCCAACACCCGUGCCCUGAAAAUGAUAAAUGGCAAGGUGGCAUAUUUCUCAAGCUGCACUCAAAUGUCACUGUGAAAAAUCUUUAAUGGACUAAGUGUAGCUUUUCACGUUACAACUUGUCAGGUACUGAGAAAUUCUAGAGUUUCUCUUUAAUCCACAAGUCUUUGGAACCACACAUCUGCAAGCAGAGACUAAUUAUAAGCUGCACCAGUCAGACCUGGGCAAGCAGAAACCAAGGAGAAAACAUCUGAUAUCAGCUAAUUCUUUAUUAUUAUUAUUACUAUUAUUAUCAUCCUCAUCAUCAUUCCAUUUUUGCUCCUUCCUUUCCUACUCAGGAUAUUUGAGGUAUGAGCAAUCUGUGACCAGGCCACCAUGCAGGCCUAUCAUCUUCUCAUACACCCAGCUUUCUCCAUAAUGGCUUUAUUCUUUUCCUCCAAGGUUCAAAAUCACCAUGACUUCUCCCCCGCGGAGCGGGGUGGCGGGGGACUGACUCUGAAUCAUAAAUCCUGACUCCCAAAUAUUGGCCAUAAUUGGGAAGGUGAGAGGUAUCUCGUAUGUCUGGGUGGAAGAGUCUCCUUUCUCCCUGGUGAUUCAUUUUCAGAACACAUGUCCAUCUUUCCAACGGCUUUGAGUUUCACAUCACCACUGGAAAGACCUGCCAGUUUCUUCCUGUGUGCCUGUCCACUGCCAUGCUACUCACAGGAUUGUGGCUUAUGGGCACUCACUCACCCUUCAACAUGACUUGUUCACUCCAGUUCUCCCUUUCCAAAUGUUCUCAAUCCCCUGGUCCAUGCCCCAAGGGGGAUUCGGCCUUUGCCCACCAGCUAUGUUCUGAAUGUUUGUGUCUUCCCCAAAUUAAUAUGUUGAAACUUAAUCACAAAUGUGAUGGUGUAAGAAGGUGGGGACUUUGGGACUUUAUUAGGUCAUGGAGGGAGAACCUCAUAAAAGAGGCUGCCUUGCCCCCUCCAUCAUGUGAAGCAUCAUCUGUGAACCAGGAAAUGGGCCCUCACCAGACAGUGAUCCUGCUGGUUCCUUGAUCUCGGACUUUUCGGUAUCCAGAACUGUGGGAUACACAUUGCUGUUGUUUAUGAGCCACCCAGUUUAAGGUAUUUUGUUAUAGCAGUCCAAAUGGACUAGGCCACCACCAUAGUCAGGGAAGAGCUGGCUGAUUUGUGCAUGUCUGUGCUGUGUCCCAAUGAAAGCACAAUAAUUAAUGAACACUGAUUCUGCAAUCGAUGUUUGAAGGUCAAAGGAGUUGGGAAAGGGGGUCUCCUGAAGCCAAAGAAAAGCAUUGUACUCCCCAAAACUGUGCCAGCCAGGUUUACCUUUCACAAGAUGCUACAGAUUGAGAUGCAUUGGUUUUACUUCUGGCUCUUUAAGCCCCACUCAAGCUCUAAUUUUGAUAUCUCCUUCAAGACGCUUUAGUUUGGGCCCCUCCCAGGCUCCCUUCUGUUUUUGUUCUUUUUUUCUAACAUCAUCCUUGGCUUUUCUUCUCUUUUAGGUUUGACCUCCUGUCUCUUGGGUUGAGAAACCGUCCGCUCUGACUCCUGGCCUGCUGUGACCCCUCCAGAGCCCCCUGUACAGGUCUUUGGUCACACAGAGACUCAACAAUCUAAUAAUCUAAAAUUGUAAAUGCCA